rnacentral:rRNA from 1 species
GGGACACGUGGUAUCCUGUCUGAAUAUGGGGGGACCAUCCUCCAAGGCUAAAUACUCCUGACUGACCGAUAGUGAACCAGUACCGUGAGGGAAAGGCGAAAAGAACCCCGGCGAGGGGAGUGAAAAAGAACCUGAAACCGUGUACGUACAAGCAGUGGGAGCCUCUUAAUGGGGUGACUGCGUACCUUUUGUAUAAUGGGUCAGCGACUUAUAUUCUGUAGCAAGGUUAACCGAAUAGGGGAGCCGAAGGGAAACCGAGUCUUAACUGGGCGUUAAGUUGCAGGGUAUAGACCCGAAACCCGGUGAUCUAGCCAUGGGCAGGUUGAAGGUUGGGUAACACUAACUGGAGGACCGAACCGACUAAUGUUGAAAAAUUAGCGGAUGACUUGUGGCUGGGGGUGAAAGGCCAAUCAAACCGGGAGAUAGCUGGUUCUCCCCGAAAGCUAUUUAGGUAGCGCCUCGUGAAUUCAUCUCCGGGGGUAGAGCACUGUUUCGGCAAGGGGGUCAUCCCGACUUACCAACCCGAUGCAAACUGCGAAUACCGGAGAAUGUUAUCACGGGAGACACACGGCGGGUGCUAACGUCCGUCGUGAAGAGGGAAACAACCCAGACCGCCAGCUAAGGUCCCAAAGUCAUGGUUAAGUGGGAAACGAUGUGGGAAGGCCCAGACAGCCAGGAUGUUGGCUUAGAAGCAGCCAUCAUUUAAAGAAAGCGUAAUAGCUCACUGGUCGAGUCGGCCUGCGCGGAAGAUGUAACGGGGCUAAACCAUGCACCGAAGCUGCGGCAGCGACACUAUGUGUUGUUGGGUA